CCUGCACAUUGUUGGAGUUUAGAGUUGGUUACACUGGCUGGUUAAUGAACUGUCAAGUGUAAGUAGUUUGCUACAUGAGGGGCAAGUUUUUUACACACACCACAAGAGUCUCUGGCCCAAUGAGUGAGUGGAGUUAGUAAUUCUUGCUACCAAA